rnacentral:rRNA from 1 species
UACAGAGGGUGCUAGCGUUGUUCGGAAUCAUUGGGCGUAAAGGGCGUGUAGGCGGUUUGUUAAGUCAUGUGUGAAAUCCCUCGGCUCAACCGGGGAACGACGCAUGAAACUGGCAGCUAGAGUACCAAAGAGGGGGGUGGAAUUCCUGGUGUAGCGGUGAAAUGCGCAGAUAUCAGGAAGAACACCCGUGGCGAAGGCGGCUCUCUGGGACGGUACUGACGCUGAGACGCGAAAGCGUGGGGAGCGAACAGG